AUCCAGCUGACGAGUCCUAAAUAGGACGAAACCUGCGUCAAACUGGAG
rfam:Schistosoma rodhaini strain Burundi genome assembly, scaffold: SROB_scaffold0000959